GAUGAACGCUGGCGGCGUGCUUAACACAUGCAAGUCGAACGAGGUCCAUGGAGCUUGCUCCGGAAGACCUAGUGGCGAACGGGUGCGUAACACGUGAGAAACCUGCCCCGAUCUCUGGAAUAACAGUUGGAAACGACUGCUAAUACCGGAUGCCAUCGCACCGUCUCAUGGCGGAGUGAUGAAAGAUUUAUCGGAUUGGGAGGGUCUCGCGGCCUAUCAGCUAGUUGGAGAGGUAACGGCUCACCAAGGCAUCGACGGGUAGCUGGUCUGAGAGGAUGAUCAGCCACACUGGAACUGAGACACGGUCCAGACUCCUACGGGAGGCAGCAGUGGGGAAUCUUGCACAAUGGGCGAAAGCCUGAUGCAGCAACGCCGCGUGCGGGAAGAAGGCCCUAGGGUUGUAAACCGCUUUCAGUAGGGAAGAAAAUGACGGUACCUACAGAAGAAGGUGCGGCCAACUACGUGCCAGCAGCCGCGGUGACACGUAGGCACCAAGCGUUAUCCGGAUUUAUUGGGCGUAAAGAGCUCGUAGGCGGUUUGGUAAGUCGGGUGUGAAAACUCUGGGCUCAACCCAGAGAGGCCACCCGAUACUGCUAUGACUAGAGUACGGUAGGGGAGCGGGGAAUUCAUGGUGUAGCGGUGAAAUGCGCAGAUAUCAUGAGGAACACCAGCGGCGAAGGCGCCGCUCUGGGCCGUAACUGACGCUGAGGAGCGAAAGCAUGGGUAGCAAACAGGAUUAGAUACNCUGGUAGUCCAUGCCGUAAACGUUGGGCACUAGGUGUGGGUCUCAACCAACGAGAUC
rnacentral:rRNA from 1 species